rnacentral:lncRNA from 10 species
AUGUCUGUGUGUGUGUUGUGUGUAGUUGUGUGCCUGUGUGAUACAUGCCUGUGUAUGAGUAUAUGUCUAUGUGUUGUAUGUCUCUGUGUGUCUGUGUGUUGUGUCUCUGUGUUUGUGUAUGUCAUGUGUGUCUCUGUGUGUUUUUGUGUGUUUGUAUGUGUUGUGUGUGUGUGUCUCUGUGUGGUGUGUCUAUGUGGUUGUGUGUGUGUGGUGUGUCUCUGUGUGUGUGAUGUGUGUGUCUGUGUGUGAUGUUGUGUGUGUCUGUGUGUGAUGUCUCUGUGUGUGUGUGGUGUGUGUCUCUGAUUUUGUGUCUGUGUGUGAUUGUGUGUUUGCGUGUAGUGUGUGUGUCUCUGGGUCUGUGUAUGUUGUGUGUGUCUCUGGGUGUGAUUGUGAGUCUGUGUGUCUGUGUGUGUGUGCGGAAGGGGUCAGAGCGGAGACCUGGCUUUGACCUUGCAAAUCUCUGUGUGUGACAGGAGGCGGCCGGUGAGGUUGGUUUGAGCGUCUACAUCAGUGAGGGUGCAGAUCCAGAGACCCCACCCACGAAGACCCCCGUGUGGAGGCCACACCACAAAAGCCCAAAUCAGAGGACGUGGUGCUGGGGUCCGCAGCCUGGGCUUUCUGAGGCCCAGCUGGGUGGGUGCAGUGCGGGGAGCGGCGAUGGGGGCCCCGCCCCCGCAGGAGAGGGAGUGAGGCCAACGCCAUGCAUUAUUCAGCGGUUCCUGAUUUCACAUUAUUCUCCCUGAUACUUUUACAACCUGUCAGUAAAUAAAAAGAUUCUACAUUAUUUAUAGAAAUGGAGCAGAAUUGGCCGGGAAGAUUUAGUACUGCUAUUGUUAGGGAGUGCCCGGGCC